rnacentral:rRNA from 1 species
UACGUAGGGGGCAAGCGUUGUCCGGAAUCAUUGGGCGUAAAGCGCGUGUAGGCGGCUGAGUAAGUCUGCUCUGAAAGCCCGGGGCUCAACCCCGGGAGGCGGGUGGAUACUGCUCAGCUCGAGUCCGGAAGAGGAGUGUGGAAUUCCUGGUGUAGCGGUGAAAUGCGCAGAUAUCAGGAGGAACACCAAUGGCGAAGGCAGCACUCUGGGACGGUACUGACGCUGAGACGCGAAGGCGUGGGGAGCGAACGGG